CGGAAAAAGUGAAUAUAAUUCCUGUUUUUUUCUAUACAGAUAGCGAACAACAGAGAACAAACGCGGAGACGACUCAUCAUCGCUCGCCAGAGAAAGACCAAGUUUUAGACUGGUGGGUUACUCGUCGUGGGUCGCGCGGUCCAGUAGUGGUUGCUACUCUAUCUCUUCACCUACUCUAAGGUGAAGCGGCGUGGGGGGUAGUAGCAGAGGGGGGAGGGUAGAGGCUUGGUAGUCUAGUUCUUCGAAACCCUCUCUUCGAGGCCGGCGGUCGCUGUUACGGCGAGACGUCGAAGAUGCGGAGGUGCAGGGAGGGCCACGGCUUUGGGGUGAGGAACGGGAGGAGGCGGCGCCGCCAGUGGUGGCACGUCCGUUUCUUCAGCGGCGGCCGGCACCGACGCCGACGCCGCCGCUGGCAGGACGGCUGCUGCCGGCUCUCGUGUCGCAGCUACUACGGCCGCCUCCGCGACAGCGACGUGGACGGCCUCGACGGCAGCCGCUACGCCCUGUUCUAGGACUCGGACCUCGACUACCCCCACCUGAUGCCCGCGCGCGACAGCGACUUGGGCCGCGAGGCCCUGCGCCGCGGCCUCAGGUAGGUGCGCCACCACUGGAAGGAGGUCAGCGCGCCCGAGGUGAAGUUCCUGGACCCGGCGCAGAAGCCGUACACGGGCAGGCACGAGUGGCGGUCGCAGGCGCGGCUGGAGGCGGGGCAGAAGCGGAAGGAGUGGCUGCUGGAGCCGCACGGCCUCCGCCGGAUGGCGGCGCACCAGCAGUUCACGGGCGCGCACGACCGGACGUCGCAGGCGCUGGUCGAGGCCGGCCGCGAGUAGAUGGAGGCGGCGGAGCCGAAGGCCCUGUUGGCGCGCGACCGCAAGGUCCUGGGGUAGGAGGAGCAGAGGUCGCACCUCGCGUGGUACCGCGGGUUCGACCUCAUGGACCGGCCCGACCCGUACAGCGCCCUGCUGCGGCACCGGUACCGCGAGGCCACGGGCCGGGAGAAGUGGAAGUUGCACCUCUCCUUGAUGUCCGGGUUCAAGCUCAUGGACCACCCCCUCUACCCGCCGCCGCACCUCCUGCAGUUCCGGAAGGGCGUCAUGAAGUGGAAGUCGGAGCUCUUCGCCUAGCGCGGCGCCGUGGCACGGCGGCGGCUGCGGCCGCAGCUGGACGGCGACGGCCUGUACGAGUUCCGGUGGCUGCUCCUCAAGUCGCUCUACGAGCUCUCCUCUUCCUCGUCUACUUCGCACGUCAUACCGGCGGCCGGCCGGCCGACUCGCGCCGCACGCGGUACGAGUACGUGCGUCCGCCGGCCGCCCACGAAGCAUGUGAACGGUGGCUCGAUACCGCUGGUGCCAGACAUGACAUGUAUUACUAGUUACCAGCUACGGUGCCGAGGGCUGAGUGUAGCACUUCACUACCACGAAGAAAGAAAACAUCUCCUACAUAUUAUUCAUAUGGUUACUUCAUCAGCUCUCGGUUUCACUUAAAGAGCCUGCACGGUACACAUAUCACAAGUAUUGUGUACAACCCCGUCAUUUAUUUCAGUACCUCCUUUCAAGUUAGCCCUACUUGAGAUAAUAUUAUAGUUCUUCACAUUUCGUCUCACUUGCACUUUGAAACGCUGGUAGGCUAGAUAAAAACUUAGCCUACCGAGUUCUCGUGAAGAGAUCACAUUCAAACGUUGACUUUGUUCUUUACAUUAGGAAAGGUG
rnacentral:rRNA from 1 species